UGAUCGAGCAAACCUUUCGGUUACUAGCCCAACGCUAUAACCACUAGGCUACCUGCUGGUUACUAGUCCAACGCUCUAACCACUAGGCUACCUGCUGGUUACUAGCCCAACGCUAUAACCACUAGGCUACCUGCUGGUUACUAGCCCAACGCUAUAACCACUAGGCUACCUGCUGGUUACUAGCCCAACGCUAUAACCACUAGGCUACCUGCUGGUUACUAGCCCAACGCUCUAACCACUAGGCUACCUGCUGGUUACUAGCCCAACGCUAUAACCACUAGGCUACCUUAAGGGCGAAUCGCUGAAGAAUUUGAAUUUUAUAUGGAAAAUUGCUAGCGUCAUAUAUAAAUUGGAUGUAUGUCAACAACAUGGCUACUGUAAUGUCAUCUUAUUGUACACCAAAGACUACAGAGAUUAGAUUUUAUUGCAAAACAGCCUUAACAAGCUAAUGGAAACUCCUCCAUCAUAGCCGCUUGAGAACUCUUAUAUAGCUGCAAUGCUACAAUACAGCUACAAUGCUACAAUACAGCUACAAUGCUACAAUACAGCUACAAUGCUACAAUACAGCUACAAUGCUACAAUACAGUUACAAUGCUACAAUACAGCUGCAAUGCUACAAUACAGCUCCAAUGCUACAAUACAGCUACAAUGCUACAAUACAGCUACAAUGCUACAAUACAGCUACAAAGUCAUUUUGUAUUUGAACCAAGAACAAGAGUCAUAGCCUCUGAAAUGAAUGAAAAAGUAGUAUUAUGUCAAGUAUUUCAAGUACAAUAAAGUAUAAUAAAAGUAGUAUUAUCUAUCCGUAGAACCAGACUACUACAGAACAGUGAAGGUAUUGGUCCAGACUACUACAGAACAGUGAAGGUAUUGGUCCAGACUAAUACAGAACAGUGAAGGUAUUGGUCCAGACUAAUACAGAACAGUGAAGAUAUUGGACCAGACUAAUACAGAACAGUGAAGGUAUUGGUCCAGACUACUACAGAACAGUGAAGGUAUUGGUCCAGACUACUACAGAACAGUGAAGGUAUUGGUCCAGACUAAUACAGAACAGUGAAGGUAUUGGUCCAGACUACUACAGAACAGUGAAGGUAUUGGUCCAGACUACUACAGAACAGUGAAGGUAUUGGUCCAGACUAAUACAGAACAGUGAAGGUAUUGGUCCAGACUAAUACAGAACAGUGAAGGUAUUGGUCCAGACUACUACAGAACAGUGAAGGUAUUGGUCCAGACUACUACAGAACAGUGAAGGUAUUGGUCCAGACUAAUACAGAACAGUGAAGGUAUUGGUCCAGACUAAUACAGAACAGUGAAGGUAUUGGUCCAGACUAAUACAGAACAGUGAAGGUAUUGGUCCAGACUACUACAGAACAGUGAAGGUAUUGGUCCAGACUAAUACAGAACAGUGAAGGUAUUGGUCCAGACUAAUACAGAACAGUGAAGGUAUUGGUCCAGACUACUACAGAACAGUGAAGGUAUUGGUCCAGACUACUACAGAACAGUGAAGGUAUUGGUCCAGACUAAUACAGAACAGUGAAGGUAUUGGUCCAGACUAAUACAGAACAGUGAAGGUAUUGGUCCAGACUAAUACAGAACAGUGAAGGUAUUGGUCCAGACUACUACAGAACAGUGAAGGUAUUGGUCCAGACUACUACAGAACAGUGAAGGUAUUGGUCCAGACUAAUACAGAACAGUGAAGGUAUUGGUCCAGACUAAUACAGAACAGUGAAGGUAUUGGUCCAGACUAAUACAGAACAGUGAAGGUAUUGGUCCAGACUAAUACAGAACAGUGAAGGUAUUGGUCCAGACUAAUACAAAAAAGUGAAGGUAUUGAUCCAGACUACUACAGAACAGUGAAGGUAUUGGUCCAGACUAAUACAGAACAGUGAAGGUAUUGGUCCAGACUACUACAGAAAAGUGAAGGUAUUGGUCCAGACUAAUACAGAACAGUGACGGUAUUGGUCCAGACUAAUACAGAACAGUGAAGGUAUUGAUCCAGACUACUACAGAACAGUGAAGGUAUUGAUCCAGACUACUACAGAACAGUGAAGGUAUUGGUCCAGACUACUACAGAAAAGUGAAGGUAUUGGUCCAGACUAAUACAGAACAGUGAAAGUAUUGAUCCAGACUACUACAGAACAGUGACGGUAUUGGUCCAGACUACUACAGAACAGUGAAGGUAUUGAUCCAGAUUACUACAGAACAGUGAAGGUAUUGAUCCAGACUACUACAGAACAGUGAAGGUAUUGGUCCAGACUAAUACAGAACAGUGAAGGUAUUGGUCCAGACUAAUACAGAACAGUGAAGGUAUUGGUCCAGACUACUACAGAACAGUGAAGGUAUUGGUCCAGACUACUACAGAACAGUGAAGGUAUUGGUCCAGACUACUACAGAACAGUGAAGGUAUUGGUCCAGACUAAUACAGAACAGUGAAGGUAUUGGUCCAGACUAAUACAGAACAGUGAAGGUAUUGGUCCAGACUACUACAGAAAAGUGAAGG